AGUGAACGCUGGCGGCAGGCUUAACACAUGCAAGUCGAACGGCAGCACAGUAAGAGCUUGCUCUGACGGGUGGCGAGAGGCGGACGGGUGAGGAGAAUAUCGGAAUCUACUUUUUCGUGGAGGAUAACGUAGGUAAACUUACGAUAAUACCGCAUACGACGUACGGGUGAAAGCAGGGGAUCUUUGGAGCUUGCGCGGUUGAAUGAGCCGAUGUUGUAUUAGCUAGUUGGGGGGGUAAAGACCCACCAGGGGGACGAUACGUAGCUGGUGUGAGAGGCUGAUCGCCCACCCUGGAGCUGGGCCACGGUCCAGACUCCUACGGGAGGCAGCAGUGGGGAAUGUUAGACAGUGGGCGGAAGCCUGAUCCAGCCAUCCCACGUGUGAUAAGGAGGCCUUCGGGGUGUAAAGCCCUUUUGUUGGUAGAGAAAAGCUUCCGGUUAAUACCCCGCUGUUCUGACGGUACCCAAAGAAUAAGCACCGGCUAACUUCGUG
rnacentral:rRNA from 1 species